rnacentral:rRNA from 1 species
CGUCGGAUGUGAAAAUCUGGGGCUCAACCCCAGACCUGCAUCCGAUACGGGCGAGCUAGAGUUUGGUAGGGGAGACUGGAAUUCCUGGUGUAGCGGUGGAAUGCGCAGAUAUCAGGAGGAACACCAAUGGCGAAGGCAGGUCUCUGGGCCAAUACUGACACUGAGGAGCGAAAGCGUGGGGAGCGAACAGGAUUAGAUACCCUGGUAGUCCACGCCGUAAACGGUGGGCGCUAGUUGUGGGAACCUUCCACGGUUUCUGCGACGCAGCUAACGCAUUAAGCGCCCCGCCUGGGGAGUACGAUCGCAAGAUUAAAACUCAAAGGAAUUGACGGGGCCCCGCACAAGCAGCGGAGCAUGCGGCUUAAUUCGACGCAACGCGAAGAACCUUACCAAGGCUUGACAUAUACAGGAAUAUGGCAGAGAUGUCAUAGCGGUAAAACGUCUGUAUACAGGUGGUGCAUGGUUGUCGUCAGCUCGUGUCGUGAGAUGUUGGGUUAAGUCCCGCAACGAGCGCAACCCUCGUUCUGUGUUGCCAGCAUUUAGUUGGGGACUCACAGGAGACUGCCGGGGUUAACUCGGAGGAAGGUGGGGAUGACGUCAAAUCAUCAUGCCCCUUAUGUCUUGGGCUGCACGCAUGCUACAAUGGCUGGUACAAAGGGCUGCAAUACUGCAAAGUGGAGCGAAUCCCAAAAAGCCAGUCUCAGUUCGGAUUGGGGUCUGCAACUCGACCCCAUGAAGU